UGGGGAAUUUUGGACAAUGGGCGAAAGCCUGAUCCAGCAAUGCCGCGUGUGUGAAGAAGGCCUUCGGGUUGUAAAGCACUUUUGUCCGGAAAGAAAUCCUUGGCUCUAAUACAGUCGGGGGAUGACGGUACCGGAAGAAUAAGCACCGGCUAACUACGUGCCAGCAGCCGCGGUAAUACGUAGGGUGCAAGCGUUAAUCGGAAUUACUGGGCGUAAAGCGUGCGCAGGCGGUUUGCUAAGACCGAUGUGAAAUCCCCGGGCUCAACCUGGGAACUGCAUUGGUGACUGGCAGGCUAGAGUAUGGCAGAGGGGGGUAGAAUUCCACGUGUAGCAGUGAAAUGCGUAGAGAUGUGGAGGAAUACCGAUGGCGAAGGCAGCCCCCUGGGCCAAUACUGACGCUCAUGCACGAAAGCGUGGGGAGCAAAACAGGAUUAGAUACCCUGGUAGUCCACGCCCUAAACGAUGUCAACUAGUUGUUGGGGAUUCAUUUCCUUAGUAACGUAGCUAACGCGUGAAGUUGACCGCCUGGGGAGUACGGUCGCAAGAUUAAAACUUAAAUGAAUUGACGGGGUC
rnacentral:rRNA from 1 species